GUCCACGCCGUAAACGAUGGACACUAGUUGUUGGGUGUAAGCUCAGUGACUAAGCGAAAGUGAUAAGUGUCCCACCUGGGGAGUACGAUCGCAAGAUUGAAACUCAAAGGAAUUGACGGGGGCCCGCACAAGCGGUGGAGCAUGUGGUUUAAUUCGAUGAUACGCGAGGAACCUUACCAGGGCUUAAAUGUAGAGUGACAGGUCUAGAGAUAGAUUUUUCUUCGGACACUUUACAAGGUGCUGCAUGGUU
rnacentral:rRNA from 1 species